GCGCGGGGACGACCCCGCGCCUCCCCAAGAAUUCGGUCGGGACGACCCGC
rfam:Mesorhizobium loti MAFF303099 DNA, complete genome.